UCAGUGGCACAGAUUUGGACAGAUUUGUGAACAAUAUUUGAGAGUAAUGGGUCUUUUGUGAAUGUAGAAGAUGUUUCGGAUCUUUGAGAUCAGCUCAUGCAAAAUGGGAGCAAAACCAAAAGUGUUGCGUUUAUAUUUUUGCUCAGUGUA